ACGAACAUAUCAUUGGGACACUCGGGUGUAAAGUCAAAAUGUAUCUAAUAAAAGGAACAGAUAGAGUAUUAGAGUAACUCCAAUGGUAAGCUAAUUAGCAAAUUAGUUUUUUUGGCCACAUAAGAUUUUAAAGCUAAUUUUUUUGUAGCUAAUUUGCGCCCUGGCUACUAGCUUGUGGUGUUUUCCAGAGAGAAGAAGAAUGGAUUUUGGAGUAAGUGCAAUUAUUCUAUGGUUUUGUCUCACUCUCUUUGUAGUAUGGGUGACUGGUGGGAACAUUGUUUUGGUAAUUUUGGAGAGGAUAUGGUGAGUUUAAUUACCAUGUGUUGGGCUAUGUGAGGCACAAGGAACAAAUGGAUGAUUAAGGGUGAAAAUUCGAAUGUUGAGCAAAUUGUUGCCUAUGCUUUGAAGAUUAAAGGUGGGAAAGUUGAAUAACAUGGGGAAUGGAGGGGUGGAAAGAGUGUCUCUGUGGGCAGGUCUCCUCCGGCAUUUGGUGUGGUUAAAAUUAUUGUUGAUGCUGGUGUUUUGGGGGAGGUGGGGACGGUGUUGGGUGCAAUCUGCAGGAAUAGUGAGGGGGUGGUGCUUUGGGGAGCUACAGUGUAGUGGAGUGAAAAAUGAGAGACUAAGAUUGCAGAGGUGAAAGCGGUAUUUUGGGGCAUGAAGAUUGCGAGACACAAGGGUAUGAGCUGCAUUGGGAUCGAGAGUGAUAAUAUGGUGGUGAUUGAGGCAAUGAAGAAGCGUUUGUAUGGCUCCAGUUCCUUUCAUCUGAUUAUAAAGGAUAUUCUAGAUUUUUUUUUUCGUCUAAUUUUACUAGUGAUUCAUGGUCUUUUGUAAAGCAAUGGGGUAAUAAUGUAGCACACAAAUUAACUUACUUUCAAUCAUGGGAGUUUGGCCAAUGGGUGUGAAGUGAUGUAAUACCUCAUCGCAUUUUGGAAAUUUCUUCGGUUGAUCUAGAUGGGUUUUUUUUCAAAAAAAAAAAAAAAGUAUUAAAAUUGUCACUUACAAAGUUAUUCACUAAUAAUUUUCUGUUUUACACAGAUCACUAACUAACUCAUACAAUUAACUAACUCAUACAUAUCUACACUUGCUAGUCUGCAACUGUAUUUAUAAUAAAAUGUAGGUGACCGUCAGCUAAUGUUAAAACCGCAAAGGUAACACUACCUAUACGAUUGCAUAGUUCACACUUCACAUGACACAAUUAAUUUGCCAUAAUGGCCACGACAAAAGAGUCAUCCUAACCACAUUUUUUUUAGGAAAACUCAUCCUAACCACAUUUAAGACAUGAUAACUUGUAAUUGACUUAUGUUACCAUACUUUCCUUUCGUUUGUUGUAAACUCAGUUUAAUUAAUGUAAUUUCAGCCGUUUUCAAAAUUUAAAAAAAAAAAAAAAACUUACAAACAAAUUAUACAAGCUUUGGUGUGUGAAGAUAGUAUUUGAGAAAUGGAAGUGUAAAGAUAAACUAAUACUUACUCUAAACCCUUAAAAGGUCUGCCCAACCCCUUAAUUGGACGAUCGUAUAAAGACUCAACCCAUUUAUUUAUUAGACGGAUCUAACCCAUUAAUAACUGUGGCGGGUCAUGGAUCAUGGCUUUUAAUAGGGAUCCAAGGCGUCCAACCCAUUGAAUUGCUCUAUUGAAGCGCAUUCAACGUUCUCCACUGAAGCGCAAUUGCCGUUCUCCGUUGAAUCUAGUUCUUGUAUCCCCAUUGAAGCAGCUUCUGAGCAUUCAACUAUGAAAUCAGAGCUCUUUUCCCUAGGGCUGCCGCCCCUCCUGCCCUUCCUCAGGGACGAGCCUGAUGAUAUCGAUCGUAACAUAAGGUUGUUUAAGGCAUUGUUUCAAAUUUCGCAUUGGAAUAAUGUUGAAGGAGUAUUGUAAGUAACCAUCUUUACCCUAUUUAGAAUUGAGUUUUAAUUAGUUGGAGAUAAAAAUGAUUAUGUAAUUCUUUGCUUGGAAUUCAUUUAGAAUUCAAAAUUUCAAAUGGCUCUAUAAUUUUGGAUAUUCUUGCUUUGAAUUUUCAUAUUUGAUGGUUUUGAUACAAAUUUCAUGUUUAUUUAAUUGUUCUUAACCACAGCCUACAACUGUUUGAUAUAAUCAAGAAUUAUAAAGUUGAUGAGGAUAAUUAUAUAAUCAAGAAGUUUGUAUUGAAUCUGUAGAAUUUGAUAUAGUUUUGCUAAAUUUUUCAUAUCAUUUUCUCUUAAGCAUUUCUCCAACCAUCAAUAAUUUUGCUUACAUAAUUUUUUUAACCACAACCUACAACCGUCCUUUAUUUUUGUUGGGCAAAAUCAUUAUUGGUUUGAGAAAUGCUUAUAAAGAGAAAAUGAUAUGAAAAAUUUAGCAAAAGGUAAUAACUUCCAAUAAAAUAAUACCUCAUCAAUAUCAAACACCAAAUAAUCACCUAAAAAAUUGUUGAAAAUGAAAAUCCAAGUGAAAGGGGGAAUUACUCUUGAAAAAUUAAAGUUUCAUCCCUGUUCCUAAAUUGAAGAACAGACGCAGCCCAAGUAUGAGAAGAGCUACCUGGAAAGAAGUGUUUGGUCUCCUCCUGAACUCGGGCGAGUUGAGCUUGAACUCACUCACUCACCUCCAUAUUCUUCUCGAUCUCCUCCUCUUUCACCCUGAAAAUCAACAAAGCAGAGCAUUUUCAAAUCUUACAUUUCUGUUUGUAUAUCACCCCCUCCUUUCACUAUCUCCCUCCUUCCUUCCAUCCCUCACCGAUUUUACCCUUCUCUUCUUCUUCCUCUUUAUGCAUUUCCAAGCUGUACUCCACUCUCUUUCCCUCCAUCAACGCCCUCCUCUCUGCCCUUUUGCUCCUUAAAUCUUAGUUCAAACAUUAUAGGAAGCCUUGUGUUAUUUCCUCAUGAUUCUCACUGGUUUCUUUCACUCACUUCUUCAACUACAUCACUAUCUUUCCCUCUUCUCUCAUCUCCCCCACCCCCCUCUUUCUCUAUCACCACCACUCUUAUCCAUUACAUCCACUCCUAAGGAAUAAGAGUUCCAAAAUUCAACUCCCCAAGAGUCAACAAACAAAGGGUUGUCCUGUUCCUUGUUUAGCACACCACAUCACCAAGCAAAGAAUCCCCAAGGUGGUUUUUUAC